rnacentral:misc_RNA from 1 species
AAGUCGUAACAAGGUUUCCGUAGGUGAACCUGCGGAAGGAUCAUUAUUGAAUAACUAGGGUUUGUUGAUGCUGGCGUUUCGGCGCAUGUGCUCGCAGACUCUCUUUAUUAUAUCUUUUUGUGCACCCUUUGGCAGUCUUUGCUUGUUUGGAUCGUAGCUGGUAGAGUUGGUUAGCAAGUCAAGGCUUGUUUAACAACUCGUUUGAAGGCUGCUUUCUGGAUGAGUGAGGGCUUGCAUUUACAUCCAUGUAUCAAGUCUUAGAAUGUUUAUUGUGAUUGGCGAAAGCUAGUCAUAAACCUUAUACAACUUUCAACAACGGAUCUCUUGGGUCUC